rnacentral:rRNA from 1 species
UACGAAGGGGGCUAGCGUUGUUCGGAAUUACUGGGCGUAAAGGGCGCGCAGGCGGUCCUUCAAGUCAGAUGUGAAAGCCCCGGGCUCAACCUGGGAACUGCAUUUGAUACUGGCGAUCUCGAGUCCGGGAGAGGUGAGUGGAACUGCGAGUGUAGAGGUGAAAUUCGUAGAUAUUCGCAAGAACACCAGUGGCGAAGGCGGCUCACUGGCCCGGUACUGACGCUGAGGUGCGAAAGCGUGGGGAGCAAACAGG